CUAUUUCCUCCCCCCAACUCCCACAAAACUUCAUCAUUCCGCUUUGCGGCUCUACCCCACCUUACUCCGCCGACCCGAUUCCAUUUCACAUUCAGUUCUUUUUUUCUUUUCUUUUCUAAAUAAAUAAAUAAUAAAUAGUAGUAACUCAACAAGAAACUCCUCUCUCGCUUAAGUCUUAAAACCCUCCUUUUUUGAGUAAUUCGGCAUGGGAGAUGGGAACGCGAGAGGGAAUAGCAGCAAUCGGCCAGAGUGGCUGCAACAGUACGACUUAAUAGGGAAAAUAGGGGAAGGAACUUAUGGGUUGGUUUUCUUGGCUAAGAUCAAAGCUAACCGCUCCAAAUCUAUUGCUAUCAAAAAAUUCAAACAAUCCAAGGAUGGUGACGGCGUUUCCCCCACCGCCAUUCGCGAAAUCAUGUUGCUUCGGGAGAUAUCCCAUGAGAAUGUUGUAAAGCUUGUCAAUGUGCAUAUCAACCAGGCAGAUAUGUCUCUCUAUCUGGCUUUUGACUAUGCGGAGCAUGACCUCUAUGAAAUUAUCAGACAUCAUAGAGACAAGGUCAAUCAGGCAAUCAAUCAGUACACUGUCAAGUCUCUGUUAUGGCAGCUGCUUAAUGGUCUCAAUUAUCUUCACAGUAAUUGGAUUGUACACCGAGACCUAAAGCCAUCAAAUAUCUUGGUCAUGGGCGAGGGAGAGGAACAUGGAGUUAUUAAAAUUGCUGAUUUCGGCCUUGCAAGAAUUUAUCAAGCUCCAUUGAAACCAUUAGCUGAGAAUGGGGUUGUAGUCACUAUCUGGUAUCGUGCACCUGAGUUACUCCUUGGGGCAAAACACUACACAAGUGCAGUUGAUAUGUGGGCUGUUGGCUGUAUAUUUGCUGAGCUUCUUACUCUAAAGCCACUAUUUCAAGGGCAAGAAGUAAAAGGCACACCAAACCCAUUCCAGCUUGACCAACUGGACAAGAUUUUUAAGGUUCUGGGUCAUCCCACACCAGAAAAGUGGCCAACACUGGCAAACCUUCCGCAUUGGCAAUCUGAUGUGCAACGUAUUCAAGGACAUAAGUAUGACAAUCCUGCACUUUAUAGUGUUUUGCACCUGUCUCCCAAAAGUCCUGCAUACGACCUCCUUUCUAAGAUGCUUGAAUAUGAUCCUCGUAAAAGAAUAACAGCAACUCAAGCUCUCGAGCAUGAGUACUUUCGGAUGGAACCUCUACCUGGCCGCAAUGCACUUGUACCACCACAACCUGGAGAAAAAGUUGUGAAUUAUCCAACUCGACCAGUGGACACAACUACAGACUUUGAAGGAACCAUUAGUCUUCAACCUUCUCAGCCAGUAUCAUCUGGAAAUACAGCAUCUGGUGGCAUGCAAGGUCCCCAUGUUAUGCCGAAUAGAUCUGUUCCCCGACCGAUGCAAAUGGUCAACAUGCAAAGGAUGCAAGCUCAGGGCAUGUCUGCUUAUAAUCUUGCUUCUCAAGCUGGUAUGGGUGCUGGAAUGAACCCAGGAAACAUGCCCAUGCAGCGUGGUGUUGCUGCUCAGCAGCAGAUGAGAAGGAAAGAUCCAGGGAUGGGAAUGCCUGGAUACCCUCCACAACAGAAAUCUAGACGGUUCUGAAAGUCUUUUUCAGUGACAAUCAUGCACAUGCAACUCUGCGGCGAAACUAGCAGGCAAGUGACAAUAGCCUCCUUAAGUUUAGCAGGUUGGGUUCUGGAAUAUCAUGUUUCUGAAGUUAAUUCUGAAUGUUAGGGACAAGUUUUCUCGCUAUUUAUGAAGCUGAAGAGGGUUGACUAGCACGGCACUAUUAUGUCCGAUUGCGGAUGGGACUCUUUAUCUUAUUGACAUUGUGGAUCAGAUAUUGCUUCAUACCAGCAGUCACUAACGGAUCAUUGAUGGUCAGCUCUGCCAUGAGCCACCUAUCUCUAUAUGGACUGGAUACUCUAUGUAUAAAGUUUGUAUACAUAUAAUAUGUACACCAACCAAUUAUCAAUGUAUCAGACAUGCCAACCAAUUAUCAAUGUAUCAGCAUGCCAUCUUAUUUGUCUUUA